AAGGGUUAUGUUGUCCACAUCAGUGGUGGGAACCACAAAUAAGAUUUCCCCUUGAAGCAGGGUAUCUUGACCCAAGGCUGUAUCUGCCUGUGACUAAGGGGUAUUCCUGUUUUAGACCAAAGAGAACUGAAGAAAGAAAAUGCAAAUCUGUUUAGGGUUGCAUUAUGGAUGCCAAUCUGAGCAUUCUUAACACCGUUUUUGUAAAAGAGAGAGAGAGAGAGAGAAGGAUAUUCCUGGACUGACUGAUACUAUGGUGCCUCAUUGCCUGAGGCCCAAAAGAGCUAGCAGAGUCUGCAAACUUUUCAAUCUGUCUGAAAAAGAUGAUGUCUGCCAAUAUGUUGUAAAAAAAAAUUUUUAAAAAAAAUUUAAAAAAAGCCCUCAAAAAAAGAAAGUAAGAAACCUGGGGCCAAAGCACCUGAGAUUUUUACUACAUGUCCUGAAGCAUAAAUGCUGGCAUAUUUCUCUGAAGAAACAGCUUACUAAGAAAAGUAAGGAAGAGGUUGUAGAAUAUGCUAAGCUUUUGGCCAAGUAAAUGAAAGAGGCUAAAAACAAA
rnacentral:lncRNA from 1 species